rnacentral:tRNA from 1 species
GUCUAUGUAGUAUAUUAAUUACACUGAUCUUGUAAAUCAGAAAAGAGAGAAAGUCCCCUCUCCAAAGACU